UACGGAGGGGGCGAGCGUUAUUCGGAAUCAUUGGGCGUAAAGGGCGCGUAGGCGGCCCCGUAAGUCUUGGGUGAAAGCCCUCGGCUCAACCGAGGAAUUGCCUUGGAUACUGCGGGGCUCGAGGCUGGAAGAGGGCAGUGGAACUCCCGGUGUAGCGGUGAAAUGCGUAGAUAUCGGGAGGAACACCAGUGGCGAAGGCGGCUGCCUGGGCCAGUUCUGACGCUGAGGCGCGAAAGCGUGGGGAGCAAACAGG
rnacentral:rRNA from 1 species